AUCAUUCUGCGCCUCAACGUUCUCUUUCUCUCUCCUCACGAUUCUAUGACUCCUCGGUUCUUCUUCUCCUGCAGAUCUGCUCUGCAUGGAUCGUUUUCUCUCUCUGUUUCUUUCAAAUUCGCGUAGAUCGCUUCGUUGUCUACGUGUUGAUGGUGGUUUUAUGUUGUGAGGAUGGUUUGAGCUGACGUUGAAUAGCUGGUUUGACCAGCUCGAGCUUGUGUUCCGCGUUCUUCGAUUCAGAUUUACAGAGAUGGCGACGGAGCUCUUAUGGAAUUUCAAGAGGUUUCAAGCCCAGACGGUUCUGAGCUGGAUGCAGAUCUGAUGCUUAUGGCUGCUGAAGCUGGUCCAACAGUUGUAAUUGAUAUUCGAUUCGAUGGGCAUAUUUGUAAUUUGAAAAGGGAAGCUGAAGUAUUCGGGGGUUUGGGUGUGGUUGAAUUCCGGAUGUAUAAGAUAUCGGGACGAAAGGCUCGGUGGAAGGGCUGAGUCCUGGACCGAUCUUUGUCAUCCGACCUUUGCCAUGACAGGUGCGCUUGCAUGGCAGGUCACAAAAAUACCUCAAUAAAAAAACAAACGAUUUUUUGGUUUUGAGGGGAGACAGCAUGGGGGUUUGCCCAGGGUCUCCCCUCUGGUGUGUGUGCGCUGUCUGUGUCCUCCUUUCUCUUUGUUCUCCGUUUUAUUUUUUUGCUCUCUUCUCCAUGCACACCAGUCGAGCACGGAUUGUGGACAUCAUCAACGACGAAAUCUCGCGCCCAAAGGUAUUAUCUGCCCGAGUCUAUAUUCUUUUAGUUGAUAUGCAUCAUGGUACCCAGAUCUGCAAAUUUCGCACCACAUUCACACGAACACCUAUCUAAACAUGGUACUUAAUCUGCAGCUACACGAUUAAUUAGUUUUAUUUAUCUUAAUUAACAAGGGAUUAAGCUUAUUGGGUUAUAUUAAGCAUAACUGGGGACUUGAGAAUCGAUAUGGCUUAGUAAUAAUGUUUGUUUACAGUUUGCUAAUUGUGGAGUUCUUCAAACUACCCCACUAAUUUUGAAGGUAAUCGGGUUCGAGUUUACAUGGCUAUAUCGAUGUUGGAUACUAGUUACUUAGUAUUAACAGCAAACAGGGUAUUUUGAUCCAUCAUAACCUCAAAAGUAUACACCCGUAUUUUUCUAAAUCCAAUACUAAUAUUUUUGGCAAGUUCCUUGCAAUGUUAUCCAUUUAUUAUUCUAUAAUACUGUAAAACAGAAGUGGUCGUAUGCGCGUCCAGAUCCCAAAUCCCUCAUUCCUCAUCCCACCAUGCCACUCAUUUAAAAUACCUUGCUUCGUCACAUAUUCCCACCACCUUUGCAAUAUUUUUAAUUACUUGUGUUACUACAGCUAAUUACAUGAGUUGAAAUUAAAUUUUAUGGUGUGUCGUGAACUAUUUUGAAUAAUUAUUCAUUAUAAUCUGGAUUACAGUUUAUGGUAUGUUAUUAUUGGGAUCUCAAAAGAUAUGGAUCCACUGUAAUAUUCUGUAAUUUAUAUCAUUUGGCUCCUUUUUCGUUGAGCCGUGGAUUGUAUUCCCAGUAGUUUGUUCUUAGGAGUGAAUGCUGGAAGCUUUCUUCGCUCUGGAGAUUGCACAAGACUUGUACCGGAUUGUAGCAGUGAGGUCGUGGGAAGGUCCAAGAAGUCUGUUGUAUGCGCACUCUUUCUGGAGAUUAUAAGGUGAAAAAUGACUGUACACCUGAAGGUUCAAUUUCUUAGGUGUCUGGAAGUUAUUCGAAGCCUUGAUAAGCAGUGUCCUACAUUUUAUUUCGUCUUUUAAAUUAUUGAAGUUAUAUUACAAUCAGCGUUUUCGAUUAUUUUACCGAAUUUCAUUACUUGGUUCUGUUGAAUUUAUAUUAUUAUGAUGGUCAAAUAAUGAAUUUUACUUGUAUUAAU